GGGCGUUAAGUUGCAGGGUAUAGACCCGAAACCCGGUGAUCUAGCCAUGGGCAGGUUGAAGGUUGGGUAACACUAACUGGAGGACCGAACCGACUAAUGUUGAAAAAUUAGCGGAUGACCUGUGGCUGGGGGUGAAAGGCCAAUCAAACCGGGAGAUAGCUGGUUCUCCCCGAAAGCUAUUUAGGUAGCGCCUCGUGAAUUCAUCUCCGGGGGUAGAGCACUGUUUCGGCUAGGGGGCCAUCCCGGCUUACCAACCCGAUGCAAACUGCGAAUACCGGAGAAUGUUAUCACGGGAGACACACGGCGGGUGCUAACGUCCGUCGUGAAGAGGGAAACAACCCAGACCGCCAGCUAAGGUCCCAAAGUCAUGGUUAAGUGGGAAACGAUGUGGGAAGGCCCAGACAGCCAGGAUGUUGGCUUAGAAGCAGCCAUCAUUUAAAGAAAGCGUAAUAGCUCACUGGUCGAGUCGGCCUGCGCGGAAGAUGUAACGGGGCUAAACCAUGCACCGAAGCUGCGGCAGCGACGCUGAUGCGUUGUUGGGUAGGGGAGCGUUCUGUAAGCCUGCGAAGGUGGCCUGUGAGGGUUGCUGGAGGUAUCAGAAGUGCGAAUGCUGACAUAAGUAACGAUAAAGCGGGUGAAAAGCCCGCUCGCCGGAAGACCAAGGGUUCCUGUCCAACGUUAAUCGGGGCAGGGUGAGUCGACCCCUAAGGCGAGGCCGAAAGGCGUAGUCGAUGGGAAACGGGUUAAUAUUCCCGUACUUGGUGUUACUGCGAAGGGGGGACGGAGAAGGCUAUGUUGGCCGGGCGACGGUUGUCCCGGUUUAAGCGUGUAGGUGUGUGUUCCAGGUAAAUCCGGUUCACUUUAACACUGAGGCGUGACGACGAGGCACUACGGUGCUGAAGCAACAAAUGCCCUGCUUCCAGGAAAAGCCUCUAAGCAUCAGGUAACAUCAAAUCGUACCCCAAACCGACACAGGUGGUCAGGUAGAGAAUACCAAGGCGCUUGAGAGAACUCGGGUGAAGGAACUAGGCAAAAUGGUGCCGUAACUUCGGGAGAAGGCACGCUGACACGUAGGUGAAGUGAUUUACUCAUGGAGCUGAAGUCAGUCGAAGAUACCAGCUGGCUGCAACUGUUUAUUAAAAACACAGCACUGUGCAAACACGAAAGUGGACGUAUACGGUGUGACGCCUGCCCGGUGCCGGAAGGUUAAUUGAUGGGGUCAGCGCAAGCGAAGCUCCUGAUCGAAGCCCCGGUAAACGGCGGCCGUAACUAUAACGGUCCUAAGGUAGCGAAAUUCCUUGUCGGGUAAGUUCCGACCUGCACGAAUGGCGUAAUGAUGGCCAGGCUGUCUCCACCCGAGACUCAGUGAAAUUGAACUCGCUGUGAAGAUGCAGUGUACCCGCGGCAAGACGGAAAGACCCCGUGAACCUUUACUAUAGCUUGACACUGAACAUUGAGCCUUGAUGUGUAGGAUAGGUGGGAGGCUUUGAAGUGUGGACGCCAGUCUGCAUGGAGCCGACCUUGAAAUACCACCCUUUAAUGUUUGAUGUUCUAACGUGGACCCGUAAUCCGGGUUGCGGACAGUGUCUGGUGGGUAGUUUGACUGGGGCGGUCUCCUCCUAAAGAGUAACGGAGGAGCACGAAGGUUGGCUAAUCCUGGUCGGACAUCAGGAGGUUAGUGCAAUGGCAUAAGCCAGCUUGACUGCGAGCGUGACGGCGCGAGCAGGUGCGAAAGCAGGUCAUAGUGAUCCGGUGGUUCUGAAUGGAAGGGCCAUCGCUCAACGGAUAAAAGGUACUCCGGGGAUAACAGGCUGAUACCGCCCAAGAGUUCAUAUCGACGGCGGUGUUUGGCACCUCGAUGUCGGCUCAUCACAUCCUGGGGCUGAAGUAGGUCCCAAGGGUAUGGCUGUUCGCCAUUUAAAGUGGUACGCGAGCUGGGUUUAGAACGUCGUGAGACAGUUCGGUCCCUAUCUGCCGUGGGCGCUGGAGAACUGAGGGGGGCUGCUCCUAGUACGAGAGGACCGGAGUGGACGCAUCACUGGUGUUCGGGUUGUCAUGCCAAUGGCACUGCCCGGUAGCUAAAUGCGGAAGAGAUAAGUGCUGAAAGCAUCUAAGCACGAAACUUGCCCCGAGAUGAGUUCUCCCUGAGACUUUAGGUCUCCUGAAGGAACGUUGAAGACGACGACGUUGAUAGGCCGGGUGUGUAAGCGCAGCGAUGCGUUGAGCUAACCGGUACUAAUGAACCGUGAGGCUUAACCUUACAACGCCGAAG
rnacentral:rRNA from 1 species